ACUCCUACGGGAGGCAGCAGUGGGGAAUAUUGCACAAUGGGGAAACCCUGAUGCAGCCAUGCCGCGUGUGUGAAGAAGGCCUUCGGUUGUAAGCACUUCAGUAGGAGGAAGGUAGUGUAGUUAACACCUGCAUUAUUUGUACGUUACCUACAGAAGAAGCACCGGCUAACUCCGUGCCAGCAGCCGCGGUAAUACGGAGGGUGCGAGCGUUAAUCGGAAUUACUGGGCGUAAAGCGCAUGCAGGCGGCCUGUUAAGUCAGAUGUGAAAGCCCGGGGGCUUAACCUCGGAAUUGCAUUUGAAACUGGCAGGCUAGAGUCUUGUAGAGGGGGUAGAAUUUCAGGUGUAGCGGUGAAAUGCGUAGAGAUCUGAAGGAAUACCAGUGGCGAA
rnacentral:rRNA from 1 species